CUGUGCUUGGAUGAUGAGCCUUACGAGUAUUGCGCGAAGUCAUCUUUUUCCUGUGAGGAAGAACGAAGAGGUUAAGGAAUGGCAGAGAACAUCAGAGAAGGACACGAGGAACAAUGACGCGUUGGCAAAGAAUCACUACGUCAUUCGACGAUUCAUCGAAUCCCCAAGGUACAUUAUUUUGAGGACUCGAGGCCGAUUAAAAAAGGAGCGAGCGGUGUUACGAGUCUGUGACUAACUAUGUGAUAGAGGUCGCGUGCCAGUAUUACGAAAUCAAUGAUAUCACGUUUCUCACUCAGAUCGAAGUUUGAUGCUGCAGACCGGAUGCGUGCAGCACGCAGUUUUCGAACGAGACGGCCUUCUGCGCAUGCGCCAACGUCUUCCCAGCAGUUAAAGGCCGUUCCACAUGAUAUACGAUGAAUGAUACAAUAUUGAGAACAGCCGGAUAGGACAGAUCGAAAAAUAAGUAUAGAGGAGACAGACAGAUUAGAAGAUACGAAAAUUACAAUUAUAAAGGCUACUAAAGUUUUUAUUUUAUUUCUCUGACAUACAUUACCAAUCGAAUAUCUGUCAUGCGAGCUUUUUUUCUUUCUUUAUCCAAACGGAAUGCCACGGCCGAACCCGUAGCGGCUUAUUGUUCCAUUGACAACAGUCAGGCUGUCACGACAAAGCUUUUACUUUCUUAUGCAAAUGUACUAGGAGAGCCGUGAAUAUCGGCUGUAAAGCUGUUGGAAUCUUCUUUUUCCAUCCUGGUAUCAGUGACGUGUAUGAUAUGCGUGGGGCGGGAUCGGGGGGGUAGGAUUCAAAAUAAAAUACAACUGACAAUUGCCAGUUGUCCGCCACCAGGAUUUUCUCGUACAGAUUAAACCAGCGGAAAAGUCUAUCGAGGAGAUUGGAUUGAAAAUCGUGACGGUGGUACAAGGUUAUUUUUUUUCUUCUCUUGUUGUCGCUGCCGCCACAACGCAACGAGAGGGACUGUUUUCUAGCGAGGUAAUGACACAAUAUUAGUACAGUUGCCGCUUGUAACAGCAAUGACAAUGCGUUUUCUACGUCUUGUAAUCUUUAUUGCGUAAUGGCGGGUAGUCCGGACAAAAUAGCGCUGGACAAUGGAAUAAAGGCAAUAUCGUUGGUUAUAAAUAUCUUUAACAUUACCACCCGGUAUGUAUACACAAUAAGAGUGGUAACAGAUGUCGUAAACUGGUGACUUACUGUACGAUUCGUACGGGGCAUCUGAAUCAACGUAGACAUCGAUAUUUUCAUUGCUACUUUUUUCUCACAACUAAAUAAAUAGAGUAACUCGAUCGUGGCGCGCUCUAGCGGAUUCUUACGGAGACAAAGGUGUGCCGGUAGUCGAUCAGUCGCUCUCUGACCGUUCAGGUGUUAACGUUAAAGAUGGUUACACGCUAUGAUGCUGCGAUAA